AUGAGAUCUAAUGGGUUUAUCAGGGAUUUCUGCUUUUGCUUCUUCCUUUUUCUCUUGCCGCCACCAUCUAAGAAGUGCCUUUCUCCUCCUGCCAUGAUUCUGAGGCCUCCCCAGCCACUUAAACUAGGUGGGGUUUCACCGUGUUGGCCAGACUGGUCUCGAACUGCUUACCUCAGGUGAUCCAUCUGCCUCCGCCUCCCAAAGUGCUGGGAUUACAGGGUCCAGCAACUCCAAUGACAAGAAUGAUGCAUUUUCAUCACUUGUGACUUCCGGUGAUUCUCAGGUGCAGCAGAGAUAGAGAGAUCUGAAAAUGGGAAUUUCCAAACAACUCUGUUUUCUGUAAGUUUUCCUAGACCAGACCUUGGGUCGGUCUGACCAGGUGCAGCCUCAUCUUAGCAGCAGAUUAUUCUCAGCAUUCUCAUCAUGGGGAAUUUUACUGUGUGGGUGAGGAAGAGGGAAAAUAGCACUUCUUCUUUUUUUUUUUUUUUUUUUGUGACCGAGUCUUGCUCUGUCACCCAGGCUGGAGUGUAGUGGCACUAUCUCAGCUCACUGCAACCUCCACUUCCUGGAUUCGAGCAGUUCUCCUGCCUCAGCCUCCCAAGUAGCUGGGAUUACAGGCAUGCGCCACCAUGCCCGGCUAAUUAUUUUGUAUUUUUAGGAGAGAUAGGGUUUCACCACGUUGGCCAGGCUGGUUUCAAACUCCUGACCUCAAGCGAUCUGCCCACCUCGACCUCCCAAAGUGCGGGGCUUACAGGCGUGAACCACUGCGCCCGGCCAACAAUAACACUUCUGAGUGCCCACCUGUGCCAGAUACUGUGCAAAGAGCUUUACCUGCAGCAUUUCACUGAUGCCACAGCAAUCUGAUGCAUCAGGAAUUAUCAUUCCUGAUUUUAACUGCAUUAGGAAUCCAGGAGAAUUUGUAUCAUCUGUCCUUGUCACUGAACAGAUCUUUCUGGCUCUAAAAAACAUAUGUCAGGGAAGACAUAUUUCUUUUUUUUCUUUUUUGUUCUUUUAGUAGAGAUGAGGUUUCACUAUGUUGCCCAGGGUGGUCUCAAACCCCUGAGCUCAAGCACUCCUCCUGCCUCUGCCUCCCAAAGUGCUGGGAUUAUAGGCUCGACCCCU
rnacentral:lncRNA from 1 species